rnacentral:rRNA from 1 species
UUCCGGUUGAUCCUGCCGAAGGCUACUGCUAUUGGAGUUCGAUUAAGCCAUGCGAGUCUAAGGGACUUCGGUCCCUGGCAUAAUGCUCAGUAACAAGUGGAUAAUCUGCCCUUAGGUGAGGAAUAAACCCGGGAAACUGGGGCUAAUACCUCAUAGACACAAGAAGCUGGAAUGCUCCUGUGUUCAAAGCUCCGGCGCCUAAGGAUGAGUCUGCUUCCUAUCAGGUUGUAGUCAGGGUCAAGACCUGACUAGCCAGCGACGGGUACGGGGUGUGAGAGCACUUGCCCGGAGAUGGUUUCUGAGACACGAAACCAGGCCCUACGGGGCGCAGCAGGCGCGAAAACUUCGCAAUGCGGGAAACCGUGACGAGGGAACUCCAAGUGUCUAUGCAAUGCAUAGACUGUUUUUCAGCCUAAACAGCUGUUAGAGUAAGAGGUGGGCAAGACCGGUGCCAGCCGCCGCGGUAACACCGGCACCUCGAGUGGUAGCCACUAUUAUUGGGCCUAAAGCGUUCGUAGCCGGUUUGGUAAAUUCUUGGGUAAAUCGUACAGCUUAACUGUGCGGAUUCCGGGGACACUACCAGACUUGAGACCGGGAGAGAUCAGAGGUACUUGUAGGGGAGCGGUGAAAUGUUGUAAUCCUACAGGGACCACCAGUGGCGAAGGCGUCUGAUCAUAACGGCUUUGACGGUGAGGAACGAAACCCUGGGGCGCAAACGGGAUUAGAUACCCCGGUAGUCCAGGGCGUAAACGCUGCUGACUUG